rnacentral:lncRNA from 1 species
CAGAACAAAUGCAUACCCUUCUACUGUCUCUUCAGAAAUUGGAAGUGUUCGACUGUCCAGAAGUGGAAUCAUAUUACGAUGGAAGCAGAGGCAACACCACAAUACUGUUUCCUAAUCUUCGUGAGCUUGUACUGAGCAGAUGUCCCAAGCUAACUGAGAUAGUACCGUUGGAGAAGCUGCCAAGGCUUGAAAGCGUACAAUUAAGGGACCUGGAAUCCUUCAAUGGUUCACUUGCACAUGUGGAAUCUGAAUGCCCUAAAUUCCUCUCCCUCGUUCGCUUGAAAAUAGAGAUCUGCCCAAAUUUUGUAUGUUUUCCAGAUGGAGGGAUGGAUGCACCCAAAUUGGAGGAGCUGCGUAUCUCUCAAUGCAAGAAAUUGAGGUCACUGCCAGAACAAAUGCAUAUCCUUCUACCGUCUCUUCAACGUUUGAAAGUAUUCGGCUGUCCAGAAGUGGAAUCAUUUCCUCAAGGAGGGUUGCCCUCAAAUUUACAAGGCCUUUCUUUUGAGUGUUAUAGAAAACUCGCUGCAAACCGCUCACUGUGGGGUUUAACAAGACUCAACUCUCUUAGAAAUUUGGAAAUCAGUUUCACUGAAGAAGGUGGAGAAGAAACGGGAUGUUCGUUUCCGGAAGAGGGUUUGCUGCCCGCCACUCUCACUAGUCUCUCCAUCUGCUUUCAUCCAAAUCUUAGAACCAUCCAAGGCAAGGUUUUGAGACAACUCACCUCUCUUGAACACCUCACAAUACAAGGAUGCCCUGAGCUCCAGGGCUUUCCAGAACAAAUGCAUACCCUUAUACCGUCUCUUCAAAAAUUGAGAGUGUUCGGCUGUCCAGAAGUGGAAUCAUUUCCUCAAGGAGGGUUGCCCUCAAAUUUGCAAGACCUUUCUUUUGAGUGUUGUAGAAAACUCGCUGCAAACCGCUCACUGUGGGGUUUAACAAGACUCAACUCUCUUAGAAGGUUGGACAUCAGUUUCACUGAAGAAGGUGGAGAAGAAAUGGGAUGUUCGUUUCCGGAAGAGGGUUUGCUGCCCGCCACUCUCACUAGUCUCUCCAUCCGCUUUCUUCCAAAUCUUACAACCAUCCAAGGCAAGGUUUUGAGACAACUCAC